UACGUAGGGUGCGAGCGUUGCCCGGAUUUAUUGGGCGUAAAGGGCUCGUAGGCGGUCUGUUGCGUCGGGAGUGAAAACUCAGGGCUUAACCCUGAGCCUGCUUCCGAUGCGGGCAGACUAGAGGUAUGCAGGGGAGAACGGAAUUCCUGGUGUAGCGGUGAAAUGCGCAGAUAUCAGGAGGAACACCGGUGGCGAAGGCGGUUCUCUGGGCAUUACCUGACGCUGAGGAGCGAAAGUGUGGGGAGCGAACAGG
rnacentral:rRNA from 1 species